rnacentral:misc_RNA from 1 species
UCUCCGUAGGUGAACCUGCGGAGGGAUCAUUACCGAGCUCAUGCCCUUACGGGUAGACCUCCCACCCUGUGUUAUUAUUACCUUUGUUGCUUUGGCGGGCCGCCAGGCUCCGGUCAGGCUAUCGGCUUCGGCUGGUAAGCGCCCGCCAGAGGACCCUAUAUCCUGAUUAUUAGUGUCGUCUGAGUACUAUAUAAUAGUUAAAACUUUCAACAACGGAUCUCUUGGUUCUG